UUUAACUUAUUCAAUUCCCUUGUAGUUCCAUGCCAAUAGAGAUGAGGACCAUAUUUCAUAUUUGAAUUUGAUUUAUGCAAAAUAAACCCUAUGCAGUAAGAAAAUAGAAAAGAACUGCAAUCAUAAAGAUUUGAGAAUAAUAUUGGGAAGGACUACACGUACGGCAGAGUUUAACAUGUAGAACUUUUCAAAAACAUUAAUGGUAACCCGGGAUACUAAAAAAAACAUGUUACAUAGAACGAUCCAUUUAAUUGAGCAAUACGCAUAAGAGCAAAAAAGUGAACUAAUUGCCAAGACUGCUUACAUGGGAGUGGUUUAAUUAUUAUACUGCGCAUAUAUAUCUGAGACAUAGUAGGAUACAUUGCCAAAGGAUCAUGGUUGCCCUUCAAGGUUAAGGCUUACAACUAUGACCUAAUUAGUAGGACUAACACAAAAAAUACCCUUCUUCCUAAUUUCGCUCCCUUGAUGCCAUCGUUGAUGAUCGCAAACGCUGUUCCAUGUUCUGAACUUGGCAUUCAUAUUGAGGGUUGGAAGAAAGAAGAGUUAGUGUGACAAAAUGCUUGCUGAUGAGAGAAAACAGAAGGUGACAAAUAAUGGUGCUCAAGUGAGG
rnacentral:lncRNA from 1 species